UACGUAGGGGGCAAGCGUUGUCCGGAUUUAUUGGGCGUAAAGAGCGUGUAGGCGGCCAGAUAGGUCCGUUGUGAAAACUGGAGGCUUAACCUCCAGCUGUCGAUGGAAACCAUCUGGCUAGAGUCCGGAAGAGGAGAGUGGAAUUCCUGGUGUAGCGGUGAAAUGCGCAGAUAUCAGGAAGAACACCCGUGGCGAAGGCGGGUCUCUGGGCCGAUACUGACGCUGAGGAGCGAAAGCGUGGGGAGCGAACAGG
rnacentral:rRNA from 1 species